AGAGACUUAGGAUAACAGACUAGACCAAGGGCCUUCAAAGCCCUCAGUGAGAGUGAAAAUCUCUCAGCCUCUG
rnacentral:tRNA from 1 species